AUAUCUCUCUGUACGGGAAGGAUGAGAAGCUUCGACUAAGGUUCGAUUCGAGCGCAGCGAGAAAGCGUUGCCGCAGGCAACGACCCGAAGGGCGAAGCGCGCAGCGCUGAG
rnacentral:sRNA from 5 species